UAAAAGGAGCCCACAGCGGAGCUAGAAUUCAGUCGUCGCAGGGACCUCUCCUUGAGUGGAGGUUCGCUUCAAUCAGUGUCGUGAGACAUUAAUGAGCUUUCCUUAACUGCGCGGCUCAACAUUUUUUUUUGUAUUUUUUUUUCGGUUUUUUUUUUUUUAAUUCGGCCAAUUGGUCGCUGUCAGAGGUGAUGCCAAGAUGGCUUGGAUCACUUCCAGAGCGCUCUAUGAGUGCUCUGGCUUCCUGAUGAAUAUUGCUGAUUCAACAAUGGAGUAUUUUUUUUUUUUUUUUUUGUUGGGAGUUUGAUAUCAACCCAAAGGAAUAUUUAUUCCUUUAAAUCGGCCAAUUGGCCUAUGUCAGAGGUGAUGCCAAGGUGCUUGGAUCACUUCCAGAACGCUCUGCGAUCAUCGUUCUGGCUUCCUGAUGGGUAAUCUCCAUAUAAGCACGUAACAUACAAAAAUUAAAUCGAAGCGGGCCAUAGAGAGACGCGGAAACAUAAAUCAUUUUUCCGUUAUCUUGCGCUUAUCCUCUUAUUAGCUAAUCAAAUACUGCAUAUCUUAAUUUUUUUACUUAAUAAUUUUUUUUUGAGUCGAAAGUAGACGAAACCCUGCAUUCAAUCUUGUGGCGUACUUAGAAGUCCCAGCAAAUGUAUCCAUCAGUCAUGAAUCUUAUGUUUGUGUAGUUUCAGUGCAGAAACGAUGUUUCAGAUCGAGGGGAAGCAUAAUAUAUCCGGCUUUAGUGCUGGGUGAUCUUUUAUUGUUGGAGUUAAAACAUAUUCAAUAUCAAAUUUUCUUCUAACUAUAGUUUGGGUGUAAACUGAUAAGGAAAGUUAUUUAUGCGUGGUCAAGAUUCGGUUCAGUUUUUCUUAGUAUUAGGUGAACCAUAUUUUUCAGUGUUGAGUCUUCAGGGUUUUACUUGGUAAUUUUUCUUCGCAGCUCCUGGGGUUUAUGGAGGUGUAUGCAUUAGCCAUUUAGUUGCUGCUUCUUUAACUGUGAUUGACUAAAAUUUAAAAAUUCUUCAUAACUAUAUUCAGUUAUCUGUUGCUGGUAGUUAUCCUUAGUUAUCGUUUUUUGUUUAGCUCUUGUAGAGUUUCAGGGGCGUUAUGAGUUUCUUGCGCUUACGCACCAGAUUUGGUGCUGAAUGUAUUGCUGCUCCGGCACCAUCUCUAGCUGGUAUUUCAGGGAGUUGGUAUGCUCUUUUCUUCUAUAAGUCUGGAACUCAAAUACAUUAUCGUAUUCUUUGGCGCGUGUUGUUCUAUGUUUGUUACUGGUUCCAAAAAAUAUCCGGUGGGCUAUGGCAUUUCAAUUGGAAUCGCUGAUAUCGCAGCGAAAAUAGCCUUCGUAUUCUUUCGUUUCGGGGCGUUUGGAUUUUUUUUAUGAGACAUUUUCGGUUUGCCGGCAUGGGUCGGUCGAUGUUCUAAAAGAUGUGAGUGUAAACUGGCGUGAGUUGCAAUUGCUUUUGGUCGUUGUCAUUUUGAAACGCUUGAUGUGAGCGUAAAGUCAAAUUGAGUUGAAGUAAUUUAAUAAUUUCUAGUAUUCCGGUAACUUUGAACUUCAACCAAAGAGGCCAUAUCCUCAGACGGCUUAUAAACUAGCACUACGCGAUCCAAUUAUAAUUUUGGAAUUUGGCGUAGAAUGGAAUGAUGUUUGGUCAGAAACUGACAUAGCUUGUGCAAGCGCUCUCAAUUUGAGAUCUGGCUGAGAUGCAGGAUAAGUUAAAUAUAAUUCUCGGCAUCGUUUUGGUUAACCACAAAGCAAUUUCGUCGAAAACCCCGCCCAGAGCUUGACAUUUCAGACCCGAACAGCUGCCGCCAUCCGAGCUCCUUAUCGAGUAUGCAUGUGAGAGUUUACCUGCAUUUUAUUCCCUUUUAUAUGGGAUUUGCGUAGCUCUCGACCCUCUCAUGCUCUGCGGUUGUCCUUUUUGCUGGGUCGUUUGUUCGCUCGGCCGUUCGGCUGCAUGUCAUCGUUAGUGUCUGCUCUCGGCAGGGAUUUGUAAUAUUAUGCUGUCAAGUCAAACAUGCCCACUGACAGUUAGCAACUGUCUGACGGGCGGACGGUUGACUCUAGUAUGUAAGCUGACGUCGGGCUACACCCACCACCCCUCGCAGCAAAGUCGGGUAGUAACUUGCCAGUGGGCGGGCAAUGGGUGAUGGGUGUGCGGGUAUGGUAAAAUUGUGGGUUGGUGAGUGGCAUGCGGGGCGGCUGCCAAUUACACUUCUGACUUGACGCCGGGGCAGCGUGUGUGCAGAGGCGAUGACAGUGUAUCCUCGUAGUCCUUGGUCGCCGGCGCUGCGGGUUUCGGUUUGAUACUAACAAAUAAUGACAUGGCAAUUUGCAGAUUUCACAGCAUGCCCAAAGCUCUCUGGCUGCACGUAAAUAGUCGGCAAAUAUUCCACUCGAACAUCGGCAGUCAAGUCGAGUUAACCAAGCCAAUUCAAAGCGCAGCUACAAGUUUGUUUAGUGCUGCCCGGCUUGGGAUUGCUGCUGCUGCUCUGCAACUGGAAUUGGAACUAGAAUUGUUGCCCGUCCCGGCUAUCAGUGUCAAGUCAAGGUGGUUGCUAUUCCUCCUCCUCCACCUCCUGCUGCAGCUGCUGCUGCUGCUGAUGAUCCCCCGCCGUGGACCGCCUGCCAAUGUCAGUUAGCUAAAAGUCCUGGCCUAGUCCCCGCCGCUUGUCAACCUCUCUGUCCGCCCCGCUGUGCGUCGCAUGCGCCCCAGAGAAAUUCAAUUGCGAGCAUGGGUUAAAAGCUUGCCAAACUGACAGCAGCUCGACCCGCACCGGGACAGCGACGUCUCCUGGCCACUGGUGGUCGUGCUCGGGUGAAGACCUCCUACGUGUCCGCUGUCAAAUUUCCUUGUCUCUGGCCCAGGCUCAAGCCUAUAUGUCAGCCCCACACCGAGCGUGUGUGUCCCGCUCUGCCUCUGUGGUAUUGGAAGAGUUGGAGAGCUGAAUGUAUUUUUUUUGGCCUGGCUGCUGUCAUGAGAUUAAGUCAUUAAAUAAAUGUAAAAUCGGAAAACUGCAAAUUAAAGUCCUAUAACUAGUAUGGGGUGUUCGUUGUUUGUUGGAUGUGCUAAAACAGCUUGAUUUAUUAGAGUCUAAAGUAUAUAAUGUUUUAAUGAAAGUAUGGAGAAUCAAUGAUAGUAUAUGAAUUUGAGUAGGAGUUCGUAAAGUGGGUUCGUCGUACCUUUUCUCUUUUGAAUUUUUUCUAUUGUAUUUCAAUCAUAUAAAUAUUUCAAAGUCAACAUCUGCAUUUGUUUGGAAUUGACAUUAUAUAAUGAGUAAAGUAUUUAAAGAAAUAUACAUAUAUAUGAUUCUAUUAUAUUAUUUAUAGUGCAUACACUAUUGGUAACGGUUUUAAGUACAGCUUAUCGAAAUGUCCUCGUACGGGAAUUGGAAUGUGCCUUGAUUGCUUGCAAAACAACAUUUAGUCGUGAAUUGUGAAGUGGAAAGCCAGAAGUUAUCUGGAUUGAUUUCAAUAAUACAUCAUUCGUAUCUUCUUUAAAUGCACUUUAUAAUUGUUGAAUUGAAUAGUUGGUAGCUGUUUGAAUGACUCCAGUAUUUUUUUCUAGUCUGUGCUAUAACUGGAUACCGCAUCGUCAUUCUCAUCGUUAUCAUCGGCUCAGGAAUAUCGUCGUCAUUCAUCGUAUUAAAUUUCUUAUUCCCCAUUCUUGAUAUGUAUUCUGUAUUUCCCGCAAUAAGUCAUCUUUGGAAAUUCCGGUAUCUGCAUUUCGGCAUAUGAGGUAUCAGCGAUGGUACCUCGAAGUUAUACAUAUUGUAAGGAGUUGGACCUGGGAAUGAGCCCUGUGGUGGUACAUACUGCGUACCAUGCAUAUGUUUCUCUUUUUUUUCUAUGACAAAAAAUUUGCUCUUCAAUGGAAUCGAAAAAUUUUGUAAUUUUAAAAAGCCCAUGGAUAUAGUAAAGUAAUGGAGUUGGAAAACUCGGAAGUUAAAUUUCAUGAAUUAUAAGUAUGAUUAAAAAAAUAAAAAAUGUACACAGAAGUUUAAUGCUCGUGUUUCUUCAUCCGAUUAAAGCAAAUGUAAAGUAUCGAAGAAGUUUCGUAGUCAGCUUACUUGAGUUUGCGUGCUUUAAAUACCUGACAGUUUGUGUGCUCUCAUCCCUUCGUUUUCAUUUGUGCAAAGGCUAAGCCUACUGGCCAACUGCCAAGUAUCAUUAGAUGUUGGCCGAGCCAUAAAAAGGCAUUAAGAUUGGGCAAUGGCGGACUGUCAACUGCUGCUGGCUUACAAUCAAUUAAGUUGGGGGGGAAUUGCAUAAAUCGAUGCCGCAUUUCUAAAAUGUUACGAGCCUCAAAUUGAUUGAAACAUUUAUGCAGCCUUGGAGUUGCCUUUAGCCAACAACACCAGCAGCAGCAUCAGAGUCAGCCAAUAAACCGGUUUACCAAAGGCUUUUGCCGACCUGCCAAUUGACUUCGUCCAUUCCGCCGGAGGGAGACCAAAAAGCCGUCAAGUCUCUGUAUUUAUUGCACUUCCUUUUGCAUAUAACUUUCAAAUUAAUUGUCGCUCCAUGUAAAUUAAUACAUUGCUGCAGCGCUUACUAGUUGACUCAAAGUGUUUGGGGUGUCGCUCAAUAUAUUUUCAAAUGUAUUUGAUUUUUGACUGCAAAUAUCGUUUGCCGUUUCGCUAUUUAGUUUGGGUAUACGGAUAUGAGUGUCUUGUUUUGAAGUUUCCGAACUAAGAUUGGUUAAUAUUGUUUUCCAUGUUGGUGAAUUAGGUGCUAAUUUUCUUUUUGUCUACAAUGUACAGAUAAGCUUAAUAAUUGAUGUGAAGACGCAGUUGACUUUUUAAAUAGAAGAGCCAAUUGUUUCAGCUUUGAAUUAGGUUUUAUUCCUGUCUCAGGAACUGUGCUUCGGUUGUGUUGGGAGUGAUCAAUGGGUAUUCCAUUCUUUGUUUUUUUGUUUUUUUGUUUUUAUCGACAUUCAUAGCUUCAAGGAUAAGCCAUGUCAUCUUCGCAAUUAGUAGCGGAUUCAUCAUUAAUUGCUUUAUUAUUGUCAUUAGAUCAGGGCGAUGAAUGAAGGAGGAUGAGCCUGAGGAAGUACAACAAAAAUUUAAAUGUAUAGAUGGCAUAUUAAAUUGUGAAUAAAUUCUUAUUGUUCUUAAUGUUACUUCAUCAUUGUCUUAAUUAAAAAUGGAUUUUUGAGGAAGUUUAAAUUUUGUUAAUAUUUUGCUUAAUUUUCCAAUAAAAAGUGGUCUACUUCUUUUUCUUUUUCUUUUUGUUUAAGACUGAGAGAGAAAGCGUCGAUUACUCUAGGAAAAUAUUCUGUUAGGCACGUGUUCAAUUUGGGAUCUCAUAAAUAUGUAUAUGGAAGGAUGAAAGGUGUUGAAAAUAAAUGAUGUGCAAGUGGAUUUUGAUGAGUGCGUGGAGUUCUGUUUAAAGGAAGAGCCUUGAAUUACGUAAAGCCGUAUUAAAGUCUUAUAUGAUAUCAUAAUAAAGAAAUUAAAACAUAUUCAGUAUUCGACUUUUAUUGGUAUUUGUAACUACAAAUGUUUUUAGCUAAAGUUGAUAACGGGAUACAUUAGUAGUUUCAUGAUUGGGGGUUAGUGGGUGUAAAGAACUGCAACGUUUAGUGGUUUCAAUGAGACCAUGUUUAUUAACAUACAUAUUCAUGUAUGCUCUUAACAGCUGAGUAGAUGAUCGCGUUGCCACCAACUAGAUGACAAAGUAUUGCUAGAUGGCCAACAAGAAGCACGGAGCUCCGGCCAUAGGGUGGGGCACCCACCAAUCUAUGUAGCACUUUAUUUUGGAAACAUUGCCGAACUUAAACGUUGGAGUAAGACGCUGUGGGCCACAGUUGAAUGCCGUAUGUCCAUACGGGCUUUAGGAUGGACUUGUAUAGCGAACGUGUGAUGUGUGAGUAUUUUUCAGCAUGCCUCUGGACGAUUUCGUAGCUGUUCCUAAUAGUAUAUCAUAUAUGCAAAUAUCUUUGUAUGUUUAAUAAAAUAUCGUUAGGAAUGUAUUUGUCUAUAA